GUAUGUGUGAGCAUGUGUGUGAGCAUGUGUAUGGGUGAGCAUGCAUGUGUAUGUGAGUCUGUGAGCAUGUGUGUUGGUGGGAGCAUGGAGUGUAGAGAACCCAGGUACCUGCCUGAGACCAUGAAGCGCAAGUGAUGCCAAACUCCCCCAGGAUCAACCAUUUAUGGCCUGCAUGAUUGUUCCGGUGUGUUCCUUUAAUAGGGCAGGGGCACCUUGUCUAAUGACAAUGAAAGAGGAUUUUCAUUUUCUACAAACAAUAUUUAUUGUCAAUGAAUGCCACACAUCCUUACUUGUCAUUCUCUGUUUUCUUUAAAACUCAUUUUCCUGCAGGACCACGUUGCCUGCUUUGGUUUAAAUGAGAGAUGGUCAAUCUUCUGCAGGGGGGAUUUUUGGUGUUGGGGGGAACCUGCAGAACAUAAUGCACAGUUGCCCCCUUGUUCCCCAGGUCACCUCUGGGUGCAGGGCAGCUGCUGCUCCCUGGGCUCUGUGUCCCAGGUCCUGUGAUGCCUGACAAAGGCUGCAGCUGGAUCACUGGGGCACGCGCGACAAAACAGAACGGACAGGCUGCAACAUGCCAAGCUGCUAAAAGGACUGAUGCUUUAUUCGUCGGAGGAGAAAUACCAUUGUGGGGUCUACGGACCUCUAUCUAAGGCUUGUUAAACCAGAAAUGCUCACGCUCUGGAAAGAGGCCCAGGAUCCACUGGGCAGAAUGGCAAAGCAAAGAUACCCAGCACGGAGCUUGGACGCAUGUCCUCAGCAGAACUCAGUGCGGGGGUACAGGGUGUGGGGGUGCAUCAGUUGUGCUCCGACAGGUGCAUGGGGUCCCCUUUCCCUUUGGCACAAGCUGCCUGUGCUUCCGGACCAACCACCUGUUGAGAAAGCCUCUCUGUCCAGAAGUGAACUAUGAAAGGCCCUGAGAGGGUGGGCUGUAUGUAAGACACAGGAAGGAGACCAGGCCCUCAGGAGUGGCAUCCAUGUGCAUUUGGGGCACAGUGAGGACUGGAAAAGACUGACCACGGCCCAGGCUGCCUGCCUUCCAGCUGCCAGUCUGCUGGGAAGUCACUUCCAUGGGGGUGGGGAGAGGUGAUGGCUACUGACACCCAGGUCACACCCACCAAUGAGCCAGUGGCUUCGGGCCUCACAGGCAGUGAGUGGACGUCUAGGCGCCUGGAAUGCACCUCUAGGGCUCUGUGCCUGGGCUCUGAACAAGGAGAGAAGCCACCGACCCUCCUCUUGGCUGCCUUACCUCCAGCAGAUAAUGUAAAAAGAAACUUUGAAAAAUGAGCUGAUCCAAUGAAACCUCCCACAGCUGGAAUCACUAAGCACCGAGGCUCUUGCUUUAAAAAAAAUAAUUACUUGCUCACCAGCAGACCACAGACGUUCUCAAUAAAUCAGGAUUAGGCCUGGGUAAUGGUGCAGGCCACAUUGGAACCGAGGGGUGUUCAGACCAGGGUGGCUCAGACUCACCUUCCCAAACACGGCCACGCGCGUCCUGUCGAUGUACUGCUCCUUCAGCAUCGUCCUGCGAGGUCGAAGAGGGGAGAGAGGGUUCAGUGCACAUCCUGCUGGUCCUUUGUCUCCCUGUGGUCUAGAGCCAUAUUUUCCAUCCAUUUCAAGGAUGAAAACCCCUCUUCAAAUAAAAAGCAACCUUAGCAUUCCAA